rnacentral:rRNA from 1 species
AGCGCAGACGGUUUAUUAAGUCUGAUGUGAAAGCCCGGAGCUCAACUCCGGAAUGGCAUUGGAAACUGGUUAACUUGAGUGCAGUAGAGGUAAGUGGAACUCCAUGUGUAGCGGUGGAAUGCGUAGAUAUAUGGAAGAACACCAGUGGCGAAGGCGGCUUACUGGACUGCAACUGACGUUGAGGCUCGAAAGUGUGGUAGCAAACA